rnacentral:rRNA from 1 species
AUUGAACGCUGGCGGCAGGCCUAACACAUGCAAGUCGAGCGGAUGACGGGUGCUUGCUCCUGGAUUCGGCGGCGGUCGGGUGUGUAAUGCCUAGGAAUCUGCUUGGUUGUGGGGGAUAACGUCCGGAAACGGGCGCUAAUCCCGCAUACUUCCUGAGGGAGCAUGAGGGGGAUCUUCCGCCCUCUCGCUAUCAGAUGACUCUAGGUCGGAUUAGCUAGCUGGGGGGGUAAUGGCCUACCAAGGCGACGAGCCGUAACUGAUCUGAGAGGAUGAUCAGUCACACGGGAACUGAGACACGGUCCAGACUCCUACGGGAGGCAACAGUGGGGAAUAUUGGACGAGGGGCGAAAGCCGGAUCCAGCCAUGCCGCGUGAGUGAAGAAGGUCUUCGGAUUGGAAAACACUUUAGGUUGGGAGGAAGGGAAGUAAGUUAAGACCUUGCUAUAGUGACGUUACCAACAGAAUAAGCACCGGCUAACUUCGUG